AAAAAAAAAAAAAAAAAAAAAAGAAAGAAAAUAGGGAAAGAUGUCCACUAAAAUUCUCCCAUAGACAUCGGACCUUCCACAGACACCUGGUCUCUGCCGAACACAGUUUAAUUCAAAUAUUCACUAACACCUGAAAAAAAAAUGCAGAUGUAUUUUCUAAUGUCCAAUUGUACCCAAGCAUAACUAUGAACAUCCAUUGAGGAAAGGGCCCAGGCUUCUGAAGACCGAAUGUGACGACCGGCAGGUGCCCUGUUCCUUUCCCAGGAGCCUUUCUGGGAACACGUGAGCCCGCAGUUUGGCUCUGCUGUAUUUUGGUCCUGUAGUCUGGCUGAUUCCAAACAUUAGCAUGUCAGAACUACUAGGGAAGAGGGGGUUAACGACCUGGCCUUCCUAGGAAGAGGUAAUUAUUUUAAAUCAUUUGAUGGAAAAAAAUAAGCAAAUCUGCUGGUUGGGCUACUGCUUGUAUUUGUCCAUCUUGAGUUUGAUCAGCAGGUCACUGCUCAGCAAUAAUUAACUAUCUUCAUAGUAACACACCAGCGGCUAAAACCGGGUUAUAAGAGUUUGGAAAUAUUUUACUGAGUUACUUUGGAUUUGAAAUAAAAGCAACGACGCAGUUUAGAAAGCAAGGAAUAAGUAAAGAAUAAAUUUCACCCAAACCAACUGUGAACAUUAAAACUUAGUCUAUGAAUGCGCCUCCUAGGAAGUCUUCAUCUUUGUCCCAAAGCUGUCUAUUAAAAAGACAGGCAUGUAGCCCACAGGCAGGAAGAGAAAGUCCAUCCCCACCGAGCAAGGAAGUAAAAGGCAGUGACCCGAUGUGGAGUAAGAACCUAGAAAGCCACCUGUAUCACUCACACCUACUACCGCUCGCGAGUCUAGGAAAGACGCCUCUACUUUAUUUUUCCUUCCUACCACAGUGAGUUGAAAGGUAAUGACGGCUCCACCUGCUGAACGCUCGGAUGCUGAGGAGAAGCCGUAACCGUGGAUGUGGGCGCCUCUCCCGCUAUCACAACCAUGUCUAAGUAGGGUUGCACUUUCACAGCUUUCAGAGGAGGUUAGAACUCAGCUGCGGUUGGGGCUGAAUCCCUAUGCCUGACCGAGUGCCUACGGCGCUCAGACAUAAAAGCAGACCCAUGAUUUGCGCAGCGCUUGGAACUGAAAAGGCUGGGCUCCAGGACAUACAGACUUGGUCCCCAGGCCUGAGGUGCCUGGUGGGAGACUGGGCACGUGGUGUCAUGGAUACUUGAGAGGAAGCCCCACGAGAUCCUGGUCAACUGCAGCCGUCCAGCGUAGGGACGUGGGUAUAUCAACCGGAUGCAGCCACGUGCGGAUUCUGGAUGAAGGUCAGUGGGGCCUGUUACUGGGCGUUGCUAACAGGUGCCAGGCGAUGUGAAGGCUGCCUGCCCAAAGAUCGCAGACAGCCCUGCCGUCUCCCCAUACCAUGUGUCAGGACAUCUAGUUCAAGGCCUGGGGGCCCUGUGGGUGCCCUGGGACCUCCCUCCGCCUUGAUUCCUCACUUGCACGCAGGAGUGGCCAUACUCACCACCCAGGCAUGACGUCAACACUCAGCUGAGAUAGGGCGUGACGUCGGAAUCACAGAGAACAGAAACACAGCACGUCCUUAAUAGGUACUAAAAUUCUUCCCAUUUUUCAAAUUGCUUUGAAAAAACAAACUGCUUUGCUAUCCAGAGAGGACGGCCAGAAAAACAGCAUAAUUCCUGCUCUGCUCUUUGAGCGUUUACUCACACGUGUGUUUAUUUUUUCCCAUAAUAAUGCACAGGAAAUACAUUACAUCUUCCAAGUGCUGGCCGAUUCUGUUUAUGUUUGUUUGCACACUGAGUCCCUGAUGGACAGAGGUCGUCGGGAGGCCUCCGUGCUCCGGGGCCCAGUGAAUGCUGGGUUACCGGGACAGCCCUUUCC
rnacentral:lncRNA from 1 species